ACUGAUUUCAAAUUCUUAGGCACUUGAUCUAGGGUUUAAUGUGUGAUUGCUAUAUCUGUGCAUAAUGCAGAUGGUUGAUAUAUAUGCUGUACCUGUUUUUCACCAUGGAGGUCAUUUUGGUAGAGGACCCGGUGGCACUCUUGAGUAUAUUGGUGGGAAGGUUGAGAAAUUUACAAAGAUGGAUGUGGACUUUGUGAAUUUUGGGGAUUUGGUUAUACUAUUCAAGGGUCUGGGCUAUGCAACAUACAGGGCAGUCUAUUGGUAUGACCCAACCAGUAAUGAUCUUGAGUCUGGAAUGCACAUACUGAGAGGGGAUGCUGGAAUUAAUGAAAUGCGAGAGAACAAGUUGAAGAAUUCAAAUAUCAACGAGUUCUAUAUUUACUUCGAUCACCCUGUUGAUGAGCCACAGAUUGUGGAAGAAGAAGCUGCUGCAGAACAGGGGCCGGAAGAAUUUGAUGAUGCAGUUGAUGUGGACAGUAUCAUGAGGGAGCUUCAGUCAUCACCAUGGACAGCAGGGGAUGGGAAUGGUAGUGGGGAGGACGAGUUGUAUAAACCUCCUCCGAAUGGCACUGAAACUGGUUCUGAUGAUGACUCCUGUAGUUGUGAUGAGGAGAAUGAUCUUAUGAAGAAAAGAAGCACUGUGAAAGGAAAGGAGAAAGUGAUGCCAAGAAGAAGGGUCACUGUCAAGGAAGGGCCAGGGGCAGAGUCAAGUGGGAACAAGAGAGGUGCUGGGAGAAAGACUGUAGCUGUGCCUAGUGGCAAAGGUACCAUGCCAGCUGCCAAGCCCAAAGGAGCUGGGCCUAGUGCGAGGCCCAAAAGAACGAGGCCUACAGCCAAGCCCAAAGGAAGUGUUCCUCAUCACAAGCCCAAAAAAACUGGUGCUGCUGUGCAUGCUGAAGAAGAUGUUCCAUCUGUGCAGCCCAAUGACAGGCCUCCAAUAGGGCUCUAUGUGAAUGAGGAGGAAUCAGAUGAUGAUGACCCGGUUUAUGAGUAUGCAUCUGAGGACCUUCACACACCAGUGUCCUCAGAGGAUGAGGGAGACAAGCAUGAAUUUCCAUUGUUUAAUGAAGACUAUGGAUUUGGAGAGGGGAGGUUUGAGGUGGGUACCAAGUUUGUAACCAUAGAUGGCUUCAAAGAGGUUGUGAAAGAUAUGUUCAUAGCUGAGGGGAGAGAAUUGUUGUGGAUAAAGAAUGAUAAGGAAAGGGUGAGAGUUGCAUGCAGAGGUGAAAACUGUCCAUGGCUGGCACAUCUAUCUUACAACAAGACACUGCUAUGCUUCCAGGUUAAGACUUACAAGUCUGAGCACACAUGUGCAAGAGAUCUGGGUAGUAAUGCUGCUGAUCAACACUGGAUCAGUAAGAAGGUGGAAAAGCGAAUGGGAAGUCAACCUCAUAUGACAACUAAUGAGGCAACUGAUUUUCUCAGAGAAGAGUUUAACUUAGUUGUGCAUCCGAAGAUGGUAUAUAGGGCAGUAAAGGAAGCCAAGAAAAGGCUAGUGGGAAACGAAAAAGAACAGUAUGGAAAGCUCAAGGAGUAUGGGAUGGAGAUUCUCAAGAGUAAUCCUGGGUCAACAGCAAGAAUUGAUGUGAAGCCUAUCCCUCAGUCCCUUCCUGUAUUUGAUAAGAUAUAUAUCUGCUUCGAGGGCUGUAAGCAAGGCUUCAAGAGUGGAUGUAGGCCUUUCAUCCAUCUAGACGGGGCCUUUCUUAAGACAUACCAUGGAGGCCAGUUACUAUCAGCAGUGGCACAGGAUGCCAACAAUCAGUUCUAUGUUGUGGCAUUUGCUGUUGCAAGAUCUGAGACGAAGGAGUCAUGGAAAUGGUUCCUUACACUACUUCAGGAAGACCUGGGUGAUGCCUCCCAAUUCGGUUGGAACUUUAUGUCCGACCAGCAAAAGGGCCUGCUGCCAGCCUUAAAAGAGGUAAUGCCAAGGGCACAUCAUAGAAACUGUGUCAUGCAUAUAUGGAAGAACUUUAUUAAUAGGUUCAAAGACAUGCACAUUAGAGACAUUGUGUGGGAGUGUGCUAGGUGUACAACUGAACCAGAAUUCAAGGAGAAAAUGGAUAGGCUGAAGGGGGUUAACAAUGCGGCAUGGGAAUAUUUGAUGAAGUUUGAACCUACCACCUGGGUUAAAGCCUAUUUUAGUCAUGGACCCAAGGUGGAUAACCUGACUAAUAAUAUGUGUGAAGUGUUCAAUGCAAAGGUAGUAAAAUACAGAGUAAAACCAGUUUUGACAAUGUGUGAGGAGAUUAGGUGCUACUUAAUAAGAAGGAUGACCAAGCACAUUAGAUUGUUAGAACACCAUAGGGGUAAGUUAGCACCAGUUCAAGAGAAAAGGUUGCAUAUGAAGAUAAAACCAAGCAGUAGGUGGAUAGCUGAGUGGGUGGGGGACAAUGAAAGAAAAAGGUUUGAGGUAACCAGAAAGAAGACGAAAGUGGACGUGGAUCUAAUCAAGCACACCUGUUCAUGCAACACCUGGCAAUUGACUGGCAUGCCGUGCAUACAUGCUAUUGCUGUUAUCAGAAAGAGGCAUGACCAGGUUGAAGAUUACGUGCAUCCAUGGUUGUGUAUGGAGUCCAUUCACAAGACGUAUGCAUAUUGCAUCAAGCCCGUUCCUAGUGAAGAAUUCUGGACCACAACUGAGCAGCUGAGGCCUGCCCCGCCACCUAUCAAACGGCCUAUUGGGCGGCCAAAGGUGCACAACCGCAACAAGGACCCUGCUGAGGCUCAUAUGCAAGGAGAAAAGCUGAAAAGAAGCUUCAAGGUUACAUGUAGCAAGUGCAACGAGAAAGGGCAUAAUUAUAAAACUUGUAAAGGAGCUCCAAGCAACCCGAACUAGAAACCAAAGAAGAAGAAACCCAAGAAGACAGUUGACAACUCACAAGCUCUGGUGCUGCUUCCCCUUUCACAAUCAGCCCCUCCACCAGAGGAUCAAAAUCAAUCACAGGGUGAAACAUUGGGUGAACCUAGUGCUGGGGAGGCAGCUGGGUCUGCACCAGUUCCUGCACCAUUUAUGGCCCAACCUUCAGCUCCAGCACAGACUCCAUUCAGACCUCCAUCCCAGGUGCCAAGAAUGGACCAACCAGACUCCAAUGCUGCUCAUACUUUUAGACCCAAGCAACCAAUUGUUCGACCACCAACAAGUGCAAAUCCACCAACAAAUCCAACACCACACACAAAAAAAACUCCAACCAGCAGGGGACCCUCGAAGGAGACCAUGAAAGCAGCUACCAGUGCCACAAAGAGAAUUCUCAAGCCUCAGAAGAAGUGAACAAAGUAGCAUGAUUUAU